rnacentral:rRNA from 1 species
UACGGAGGGUGCAAGCGUUAUCCGGAUUUACUGGGUUUAAAGGGUGCGUAGGUGGGUAGGUAAGUCAGUGGUGAAAUCUUCGAGCUUAACUCGGAAACUGCCAUUGAUACUAUUUAUCUUGAAUACUCUGGAGGUAAGCGGAAUAUGUCAUGUAGCGGUGAAAUGCUUAGAUAUGACAUAGAACACCAAUUGCGAAGGCAGCUUACUACAUAGUUAUUGACACUGAGGCACGAAAGCGUGGGGAUCAAACA